AAGACAACUCUCAACAACGGAUAUCUUGGCUCCCGUAUCGAUGAAGAACGCAGCGAAAUGCGAUACGUAGUGUGAAUUGCAGAAUUCCGUGAACCAUCGAAUCUU
rnacentral:rRNA from 1 species